rnacentral:rRNA from 1 species
GUGUCAGCCGCCGCGGUAAUACGUAGGGCGCAAGCGUUAUCCGGAAUUAUUGGGCGUAAAGAGCUCGUAGGCGGUUUGUCGCGUCUGCCGUGAAAGUCCGGGGCUCAACUCCGGAUCUGCGGUGGGUACGGGCAGACUAGAGUGAUGUAGGGGAGACUGGAAUUCCUGGUGUAGCGGUGAAAUGCGCAGAUAUCAGGAGGAACACCGAUGGCGAAGGCAGGUCUCUGGGCAUUAACUGACGCUGAGGAGCGAAAGCAUGGGGAGCGAACAGGAUUAGAUACCCUGGUAGUCCAUGCCGUAAACGUUGGGCACUAGGUGUGGGGGACAUUCCACGUUUUCCGCGCCGUAGCUAACGCAUUAAGUGCCCGC